CAAAAACAUAGCUAUGUGAAAUCACUCAUAGUAAUUUCUGCUCAAUGAACAGUUAAAUAGCCGCAGUACCCUGACUGUGCAAAGGUAGCGUAAUAAUUUGGCUUUUAAUUGAAGUCCUGUAUGAAUGAAAUAUUGAAGGAUAUCUUUAUUCUUAAUAUUAAUUGAAAUUACUUAUUAAGUGCAAAUACUUCUGUAUAAAUGAUAGACGAGAAGACCCUAGAAAUUUUAAUCAGAUAAACUUAAACUUUUUGUUGGGGCAACAAGGUAACAUUAAAUUUACCGUUUUGUACAUGAACAUUUUAUGUGAAAGGCUAAAUUACUCUAGGGAUAACAGCGUUAUUUUAAAAAGUUUGCGACCUCGAUGUUGGACUAGGAAAUUUUUGCUUAGAAGGCACAAUAUAAAGCUCUGUUCGAGC
rnacentral:rRNA from 1 species